UACGUAGGGUGCGAGCGUUGUCCGGAAUUAUUGGGCGUAAAGAGCUCGUAGGCGGUCUGUCGCGUCGAAUGUGAAAACCCGGGGCUCAACUCCGGGCUUGCAUUCGAUACGGGCAGACUAGAGUUCGGUAGGGGAGACUAGAAUUCCUGGUGUAGCGGUGGAAUGCGUAGAUAUCGGGAGGAACACCGGUGGCGAAGGCGGGUCUCUGGGCCGAUACUGACGCUGAGGAGCGAAAGCGUGGGGAGCGAACAGG
rnacentral:rRNA from 1 species